rnacentral:rRNA from 1 species
UACGUAGGGUGCAAGCGUUGUCCGGAAUUAUUGGGCGUAAAGAGCUCGUAGGCGGUCUGUCGCGUCGGAUGUGAAAAUCCAGGGCUCAACCCUGGACCUGCAUUCGAUACGGGCAGACUAGAGUUCGGUAGGGGAGACUGGAAUUCCUGGUGUAGCGGUGAACUGCGCAGAUAUCAGGAGGAACACCGGUGGCGAAGGCGGGUCUCUGGACAGGUAUUGACGCUGAGGUGCGAAAGCGUGGGGAGCAAACAGG